rnacentral:rRNA from 1 species
AGACCCGAAACCCGGUGAUCUAGCCAUGGGCAGGUUGAAGGUUGGGUAACACUAACUGGAGGACCGAACCGACUAAUGUUGAAAAAUUAGCGGAUGACCUGUGGCUGGGGGUGAAAGGCCAAUCAAACCGGGAGAUAGCUGGUUCUCCCCGAAAGCUAUUUAGGUAGCGCCUCGUGAAUUCAUCUCCGGGGGUAGAGCACUGUUUCGGCUAGGGGGCCAUCCCGGCUUACCAACCCGAUGCAAACUGCGAAUACCGGAGAAUGUUAUCACGGGAGACACACGGCGGGUGCUAACGUCCGUCGUGAAGAGGGAAACAACCCAGACCGCCAGCUAAGGUCCCAAAGUCAUGGUUAAGUGGGAAACGAUGUGGGAAGGCCCAGACAGCCAGGAUGUUGGCUUAGAAGCAGCCAUCAUUUAAAGAAAGCGUAAUAGCUCACUGGUCGAGUC